rnacentral:rRNA from 1 species
GACGAACGCUGGCGGCGUGCUUAACACAUGCAAGUCGAACGGAAAGGCCCUGCUUUUGUGGGGUGCUCGAGUGGCGAACGGGUGAGUAACACGUGAGUAACCUGCCCUCGACUUUGGGAUAACUUCAGGAAACUGGGGCUAAUACCGGAUAGGAGCUCCUGCUGCAUGGUGGGGGUUGGAAAGUUUCGGCGGUUGGGGAUGGACUCGCGGCUUAUCAGCUUGUUGGUGGGGUAGUGGCUUACCAAGGCUUUGACGGGUAGCCGGCCUGAGAGGGUGACCGGCCACAUUGGGACUGAGAUACGGCCCAGACUCCUACGGGAGGCAGCAGUGGGGAAUAUUGCACAAUGGGCGGAAGCCUGAUGCAGCAACGCCGCGUGCGGGAUGACGGCCUUCGGGUUGUAAACCGCUUUCGCCUGUGACGAAGCGUGAGUGACGGUAAUGGGUAAAGAAGCACCGGCUAACUACG